rnacentral:lncRNA from 1 species
UUUAGCUUUUUUUUUCAAUUAAUCCGUUUUUUUCAGCUCAUUUUUUUCUAGUUAACCCCCUUUUUAUGUAAUUUUAUUUCGUUAUUUUAUUAAAUUUAUUUUUUUUAAUCAUUUUUGUUUAUUAUUUUUUCUAUCAUUUUUUUUAAUUUUUGACACAUGUCAGAACCUCCCCCUCCCUUUAAAUUACCCUCAUACCCUUGAUACAUGUUAGAACAUCCGUCUCUUUUUAAAUUGCCCCCAACCCUUGACACAUGUUAGAACAUCCG